rnacentral:rRNA from 1 species
AGUGAAUAGAUACCCAGGUAGUCCACGCCGUAAACGAUGCACACUAGACCGGUGCUGCUUUGACGCAGUAUCGGUCGGAGUAAAAACGAUAAGUGUGCCGCCUGGGGAGUACGGCCGCAAGGCUAAAACUCAAAGGAAUUGACGGGGGCUCACACAAGCGGUGGAGCAUGUUGCUUAAUUCGAGGCAACGCGAAGAACCUUACCUGGGCUUGACAUGUACGGAUUAACUCCUUGAAAGAGGAGCCACACCCUUUGGGUGGAACGUGCACAGGUGCUGCAUGGCUGUCGUCAGCUCGUGCUGUGAAGUGUCGGGUUUAAGUCCCUUAACGAGCGCAACCCCUGUCGCUAGUUGCUCGGCGCAAGCCAGUACUCUAGCGAGACUGCCGGUGUCAAACCGGAGGAAGGUGGGGACGACGUCAAGUCCUCAUGGCCCUUACGCCCAGGGCUGCAAACGUGCUACAAUGGUGCAUACAAAGCGACGCAAGAGCGCAAGCUGGAGCAAAUCGCAAAAAACUG